AGUGUAUGAGAAAUCAUAAUAAAACAUAAACAUGAAAAAAAUUGAAUGCUAAAAGAAACAAAAUGCUAUAUAUGGGUAUUGAACCCACUACCUCGAGGAAGGCAAGAUAAACCUUCCUCCACUUGGCCAUGGACAACCAGUUGUUACUGUAACAGCCACUCAAAUACAUAAACAAAGAAUAAAUAAAUAACCAAAUUAAAAAAAAAGUAUUAAAUGGGCUCUGAAUGUCCCUAAGGCCCAUCAGGGCGCAGCAAGUUAAAAAGAAAUAGACGUGUGGUCGCCCCACAAAGCCCAAAAGGCGGGCGGAUCCAAACCGGGUUAUCCGAAUCCACAGGCUCGAUCCAGUUUAACCUUUCACCUUCCGCAGGAAAACACGUGGGGGACAGGAAUCUUCCAUCCCAAAAGUCACAUGCAUUGACAGAGAAAAGAGACUUAACAACCUAGGGAGGAACACCACAAAGGCGGCCUCGGGCAGUGGAAAAGGUGUUAUCCACGGUAGCCUUAACUUAAAACAAAAAGCUUUGAUAACGAUGAAAACAAUAGAAAGAACCUAGAAAAACGAAGGAAAUUAAAAACCACAAAAUACACGUCUGCUUCUCAUAGAAACUGAGAUUCCUUUCUAAAAAAAAUGAGUUUUCUCCUUCCCACAGUUGCAAAUACCGAAGGUCUAGUAGCAAUGAUGGCAAUGGAAAUCAGAUCGAACAGAAAAGGGGAAAGACAAAUUCGAAGCUAGACCAAAAUACUUCUCACUCUUUAUCAACAGUCAAGCAAGAAUUAAUACCAGUCACGAGUAAAUCGAGUGCCACACAUAUGAUCAGAAAAGAAAAUUUACCAGUUAUAAAAGGGUUGAACGGCGAUUGGACUGGUGACGCUUGGAUCUUUCGCUCUUUCGUUGAUCGAUUCCACUCCGGUGCGCUCGCUCGUCUACUUUGCCUUCAGAAUAAGCUUCGUCCAAACACCGGCAAGAUGAAGCUCUAGGGUUCUCUCUACAGAACGCCUCCUCCAGUAUCUGCCUCCACCCUUCUUAAAAUUAGGGUUCUACUUCUUAUAGUUGCCAACAAAAUGGAGAUAAAACUGUUGUCAGAAAACAUGAGGUGGACUUCCCAAUUCAUCCCUCCAUCAUGGUUUGUCGUCACGCCCUUGCUUCAAUGGUAUUGGUGGAGCGGGUAUGUACGGAAGUGGAUUUAGAAUUGCCAGCUGUGCGAAGUUGCUUUUUUCUAAACCUGUGUGGUCCCUCCUCCCACUCUUCAUCCUACCCUUCACCUUACCCUUUUACUGCGGGUAACAGGUAGAGUCACUAUUGUAAAUUGAUAACUUGAAAAUCUCAAGUAUUGCAAAGUCCAUUUGGUUAUGACUUAGUCAGUUUCAGGACGGUUGCAUGACUUUGUAACAAUUUGACAUUAUUUGUUGUUGUUUUGGCAUGACAACUGCACGGUUUUGUUGAUUUCACCUGCCACUGCUACGGAUUAAUGGGCAUUUUUUAACUAGCUUGUUUGGAGACGAAGUGCUGCAGAAUUGGCGUUGUUGGGCUAUUGAAAUGCAGACUAGUUUAGGAACCUCAUGGCAUAACAAAUGGAUUUUGAGUCGUGACAUAUUCUUGUGAGCUACAUCCUUAGAAACUUGUACUGUGCAACCAGUCCCUUGAUGCAGAUACAUCAACCACAUUAACUUUUUCAGAGUAUACUCUUUGUUCUACAAAAGAACCAAUAUUUGUUGGCUAGCUGCCGUGAUCACCAGCAGUUGUUGAGGACAAAUUAGACAAAAGAUGCAAAGAUAAUAGUAGCUUGCUCAGCAGGGGGAACAAUGAAACCGACACCAAAUCUGCCAGAAGGUCAACAAUCUAGGUUGGCAACAAAUCAGUCUGUUUUUGUAUUGGGAUUUUCUUGAAGCAAUCUCGGCUGAAGUCUUCAGGUACUUGUGGUAUUUAUUGCAUCUCUCGUUGAAAGAACCCAACGUCCGUGAGUUGGAAAUUGGCCUGUUAGAAUCAGAUUUUGUGACAAAUCAAACUGAACCUGCAUAUGUUCUCGCCCUCUAUGGUGGUAAUGGUCUGCUGUCAUGAUUGUUGAAAGGAACAUUGGGAGCUACUUCUGACUUGUCGGUUAUUGGAGAAGCAAACAUGGUUAGAACCUUUGCUCAUCCUUGACCUAUCACCUUGAUUCUCCUUUGAACCAUAAUAGCGACUUGUAUUGUUUGGACAGUUUCGGUUGAGUAGAAAAAAAACAAGCGGUUUGGGAUGAACACUGGAGGAUAUUGCGUCGUGCUAAGUUUUUUUGGAUGACGCCGGCAAGCACAGUGUCUCCUUGGCAGCAAGAGCAUUCCAUCCACUUUUCCAGCCGCUUGAUAAACACUGAAUGUAUCUUGGAUUGACAGUAAACCAGGAACAUAACCUUCAUACCAAGAUUCCCAGUUACGUUUCAUACCCAGCAGUAAUAGCUGGCAGUGGGCAUCCAUUAGACCAGCUCUUAUUUCUAUCUGGCCAACAGCACGGAGCAUGCUCUUUUGAGUUCGACGGUCUUUUUCAAAUUCAACUCAAGCUACUAUGUGAAGCGAAGACUGUUUUACAAAGCCCAAACACAUCAGAGAGAAAUGGAUGGUUCGCCACCGGAAUUUCUCAAAUCAAAUCUCUGGUUGAAAUGGUUCAGUAGCAUGGUUUAACGUUUAUAGUUAAUGGACUAGUGUGCAUUUCAUUUGGCUUAUUUGGAAACCAAAACCUGUAGGAUCGAGGUAGGCAGCAUGGACAUGUUCAAAACCAUUAUGAGAAGGUAAAUCAUUUGGCUUGAUCUCAGUAUUUGAUACCGAAGCUUCGGGCAAACCAUGAACAUACGAAGGCAAAUUCAUGGCAUUUUCAGAAGUGCUUGAAUGAACUUGCUGUGUGUUAACAGUUUCCAGAUCAGUAAAUCCAUCCCAAGCAUGGGAUACCCUCGGUUUUGUUUUUUCAACUUCAACAUUGUCUAGUGGUGGAGGCAAACAUUGUGAUAAAUUGAGUCCGUAUUGUUGAAUAGCUUGUGUUUGGACACAAUAUAUCUGGACCAGAUGGUCUCUAUUCGGUAAACUAUCACUAGUUCCGAUAAGGCUUAAUAUAAGCAUUGUGACUAUGAACUCGGAAAUAUAAUUCGCGCGAGUAGCAGUUGGAUUAUGUAUGUUGAAACUUGUGCAUCAUGAUUUUCCAUGGGUUAUGAUGUAGCAGUGUUAAUUGAUGCAAAAUGUUGGCAAUGUUGCAGGAUGUUGGUUCAUGUUGGUGAUGUUGCAAAUGCUGCUGGUGAUUGCAGGUAUUGGUUGUGGUUGGAGAGGCGAAUACUUUGGCAUCAAGAAGCUUCCCAAUAUCAGGUCCAUGACAGACAGGGAGAAAAUGCAAUGCUCAGGAGUUGUGAUGCAGUUGAAAAGAAUGGGUAGUAGGCCAAGGGUUGCAUUUGAAACCUUUGAGAAAUCCUUUCCACAACCUUCGUCUGCUGCCGCAUCAAAAUUCAAAUUGAGGGAGUUGGACCAGGUAUAACACAAGAGUAUUUCUUGUCUGAGCACCACAUAUCAAAUAAUUUUCGUGACAAUCCACUCUGAAGUCCACCGGGGCUCGCCAUCACCACAAUUGGUCCUACGUCUUUGAAAACAUCAAUGUUGCUCAUUGCCGAUAUGUGCUUAAAGGAAAACGGAUUUGACUUUGCAUUCCGAAUCCAGGCAUUGCCGAUAUUGCCGUAACAUCAGGCAUAACACCAAUAUAAGCAAUUGACAACUGAACAAACCAUUUAAGAGACGAAUCAACGUUACAAACAUUGAGACGAAGAUUGUCAUUAAACACAGGUUUCCUUCCACCUCCAUUGAUAGUCUUCGUAGAAACAGCAUUCUCAGGAUUACUCGUCAGGUUUGUUAAUGGAAAGCCGUAGGCUUGGUUUCUUGGUGCGCCGGCUAAUGAAUAGACUUGGAGGUGUAUCAUGGCAUGGUGGUAUGGUUGCAAGUGUGCAGACUUUCUUCUGCCAAUCUCAGGAAAGAGAUAGACGGCUUAAGGUUUACCCAAGUUUCCAUUGCGAGAGACCCUUGUCUUGUAAGUAGUCUCAACUUCUCGGAGUGUAGCGAUGCAUUUACGAAUGCUGGAUGGAGCUAAGAAAGUGGAUGAAGAAGAAGAGAUUGAAAGCGUGAGGUUUUGGGUUAUAGACACUUUGGAUGGGAAAAGAGGAGAGUGGGAGCGUGAAUGUAGUGUGUUUGUGAAUAGCACCAUUAGACAAUUCGCUGAGCAAAUUAGUCUUCUUUUUUAUUUGCUUCAGCUUCUCUCUACAUUCCCCUCUUCUGAUAAGCUGACAAGGGUAACAUAUAAGUAUCUUUAAUGCAUAUUUUCAGAUUAGCCGA